GUGCCCAUAGCGUAGUCGGUUAACGCGCCAGAUUGUGGAUCUGGAGACCGUGGGUUCGAGUCCCACUGGGCACCCCA
rnacentral:tRNA from 29 species